GAACGAACGCUGGCGGCGUGGAUAAGACAUGCAAGUCGAGCGCGAAUUUCGGUGUAGCAAUACAUCGGAGUUUGAGCGGCGCAAGGGUGCGUAACACGUGGUAAUUUGCCGUGAAGUUGGGGAUAACUCGCUGAAAGGCGAGCUAAUACCGAAUGUGGAAUGGAGGUGGCAUCACUUUUUUUCUAAAGCUGGGGAUCGUAAGACCUGGCGCUUCAUGAUAAGCCCGCGGCCUAUCAGCUAGUUGGUGCGGUAACGGCGCACCAAGGCUAAGACGGGUAGCUGGUCUGAGAGGACGACCAGCCACACUGGAACUGAGACACGGUCCAGACACCUACGGGUGGCAGCAGUCGAGAAUUUUUCUCAAUGGGCGCAAGCCUGAAGGAGCGACGCCGCGUGUGGGAUGAAGGGUUUCGAUCCGUAAACCACUGUCAUUUGUGAACAAUGGUCAUUAUUUAAAAGUGGUGACUUGAUAGUAAUGAAAGAGGAAGGGACGGCUAACUCUGUGCCAGCAGCCGCGGUAAUACAGAGGUCCCGAGCGUUGUUCGGAUUCACUGGGCGUAAAGGGUGCGUAGGUGGCAUGGUAAGUUUGAUGUGAAAGCUCAGGGCUCAACCCUGAAAUGGCAUUGAAUACUACUGUGCUGGGAGGUUUGGAGGGGGGACUGGAAUUCUUGGUGUAGCAGUGAAAUGCGUAGAUAUCAAGAGGAACACCAGUGGCGAAGGCGAGUCCCUGGACAACACCUGACACUGAGGCACGAAAGCUAGGGGAGCAAACAGGAUUAGAUACCCUGGUAGUCCUAGCCCUAAACGGUGCGCAUUUGUGUAGGAGGAAUCGACCCCUUCUGUGGCGAAGCUAACGCGAUAAAUGCG
rnacentral:rRNA from 1 species